rnacentral:lncRNA from 1 species
UUUUACUGCAUAUGAUCCUUGUACAUGUCAUAAUUCUUGAGAUUAAGAAUUAUAUAUGCAAGUGCUAAAUGUAUUGGGGGAAGAUAUCAAGGUGAAGUACAUUCGUUGAAGGAGCCAGAGAAGAAGUUGCCAGAGGGCCACUAGCAUUGAGAGGAUGCUAAUUAGGCUGGGAAGGGGUAAGCAUUAGGGAGAAGGAUAGGGCCUGUAAGGGGUCAAGGUCACGUACCCCUCCCUUUUCUUUUCACUAGAUGCUUACCAGAUAGGAACUGUCGGGGGA